CAAAGCAAGUGUUGCUUCUGUUUUAAGAACUGAAAAUAACUUGAAAGCCAAAGAAAUCACCAUUUCCUUGGUCUUGUUUCCUUUUAGAUGGUGGAAUUGCCAGUCUGUCCGUGAGCUGAGCUGUGGCUGCAGGGCACUGUCAGAUGGUGGAAUUGCCGGUCUGUCCGUGAGCUGAGCUGUGGCUGCAGGGCACUGUCAGAUGGUGGAAUUGCCAGUCUGUCCGUGAGCUGAGCUGUGGCUGCAGGGCACUGUCAGAUGGUGGAAUUGCCAGUCUGUCCGUGAGCUGAGCUGUGGCUGCAGGGCACUGUCAGAUGGUGGAAUUGCCAGUCUGUCCGUGAGCUGAGCUGUGGCUGCAGGGCACUGUCAGAGACCGACCAAACUGGAGAAUUUGAAUCAGAGAGGAAGCGAUGCACAACAAAUGCAGGGAGAAAUGGUGGAAUGGUGAUGGAAUCCUGCAGUGGUUCGGGUUGCAAGGGACCUUAAAGCUCAUGCAGCCCCACUGCCUGAGCAGGGACACCUUCCCCUAGCCCAGGGAAAAAGGCUGGAGCAAGAGGUUCCAAAAAGAACGGGGCUUUGUGCACGACGAAACCCGGGAGUGCCCGAUCCUGCCUGGAAGGAGGGGGGGGUGAACGGGCGGUGGGCGCCGCCAUGAAAGGAGCCGAGGGGCAGGGACUUGUCCGUACAAGGAGUGUCGGGGCGUGCCCAUGGCCAUAAAAGGUAAAGGAAGGGUGGGGAUAUGCCCGA